AAAAAAGAGCAGAGAAGGCUGGGAGCAGUGGUUCACCCCUGUAAUCCCAGCACUUUGGGAGGCCGAAGCGGGCAGAUCACGAGUCAAGAGGUUCCUAAUAAUGCUGGACAACUUCCAGUUUGGAAAUGACCACCUCCCCGGGUGUUGUCUAAUCACAUUGUCCAAAUGCUACGACAACAACUUCUCAAGAAACAUCCACAAACUCAGGUGAUCUUAUGCCUGAGUGAAGAAUAUAAUUGUUACUGUAAAAUAUAUUCGGUGUGUUAAAAUGAUAUGGUACUGCAAAAUAAAGCAUUCUCAGAAUGAA
rnacentral:lncRNA from 1 species